rnacentral:lncRNA from 1 species
GGCCGAGCACAUGGGCCCGCGGGCCGGGCGGGCUCGGGGCGGCCGGGACGAGGAGGGGCGACGACGAGCUGCGAGCAAAGAUGUGCCCCGGGACCCCCGGCACCUUCCAGUGGAUUUCCUUGCGGAAAGGAUGUUGGCGGUCCCUGUGACCUGUGGAGACACGGCCAGAUCUGCCCUCCAAAUCCUGUUACACCUGGGAUUUAGGCACUUUCAAUCUGAAAAAAUACAUAUCCUUUCAGCACUCUGGACGGACUUGAGAACUGUCCUUACGUGACCUAAAGCUGGAGUAUUUUGAGAUUGGAGAAUUAAGGCCAACAGAGAUUUUGAGAAACACAUUGAAGGAUCUGUUAACACUUGAUAUACCCAAUAAAAGCAGUGGUUGUGCCAGUGCUGAUCUGUCUUGAUGUGAAUGUGAACAAUGGGAACCUGAGCUGAGCAGUUAAUGCUAGGGUGACAGAAACUGGACCUCUCCCAAGACAUGUGACAGAGUAAUACAGCAGCCAACUUCUUCGCCAAAUUAAAGUUUUACAAGAUUUAACCUGUCAUCAAGACCUGGGAUUUUGGUGGACAGAAUAACGGGCUCCCAGAUUCACAAGCCCCACCAAGAGGAUCACCCCAGGAACGCUUGGAGGCUGAGGAGUUCACUGAGGCUACUGCAUCUUGAGACUCAGGAUGAAGACCCAGCUUGGGGCUGUCAAAGGUUUUUUGCAUGUCUGACACCCAUGACUCCACCUGGACCUUAUGGCUCCACCCAGAAGCAAUUCAGCCCAACAGGAGGACAGCUUCAACCCAUUACGAUUUCAUCUCUGCCCCAACCACUCAGCAGCAAGCACCUGUUACCUGUCCACCCCCACCCCUUCCCCCAAACUGCCUUUGAAAAAUCCCUAACCUAUGAGCUUUGAAUAAGAUGAGUACGAACUUCAUCGCCCACGUGGCGUGGCCGGCCUCGUGUCUAUUAAAUUCUUUUUCUACUACAA